CAGUGCCUGAACUCUGGAACUACAAAGAAGGGCGGAAAGCAACUAUGAAGGAAGUAGUCCAAUACAUAUUCAAGCAGUGGAAGAUCAAUAAGAGGAAGAGAUGACCAACCAAAUAACCCGAGGUAACAUCCCAUUUAUUAGAUUAAUAUAACUUCAACAAACUAUCAACAAGGGCGUGUAAGAUGCGUGCCCAGUCAAUGCCGUCGUUUCCCGAUUAUGAAUUGCCGGACGUGGCGUCGUAUGCUUUAGGCUUCUCAUCUAAUGUGGAGCAUCCAUAUUGCACCUGGAUUUAAUGCUGUAUUAUAAGCUGUUGUAUCACUGUUGUAAGAGAACCAUUGCUGCAUAAACAGCUCUUCCCUUGUUUCUGAAGUAGUUUAACAUCUUAAUAGUCUCUUGUCAUGUAGUUACAGUUAUUAGUUGCAGGCGGUAAAUUGCACUAGCAGCCCCAACUUCGUGUGUGUGUGUGUGUGUGUUUAAAGUCAUUUAUCUACUUUUACAAAUUGGAUGGAUUGAGAGUAUGAGAUGGAGAAUUGAUGGGUACAUAGUGCAUGAGCAUACAAAUGCACCGUGUGCAGGUUGGUAAAUUUCUGUUUAACAGUAGGCAAUGGUUUACAAUGUCGUGCCUCCAUUUAACUUUCAGGAUGUGAAACUACUUGUCCGAGGAUCAAAGUGAAACUUUUUCAGAGACUACCGCUCAAGAUCAUAAUUACGUUGAUGAAUGGUGGUUCUUGUCCCCUUUUCUUUGUUAGUUUAAAAUUCUUUAGAAUUCUCUAUUUCAAAACUUACGUAUUUUUUGAGGAGUGAAGCUUUUGGGGAAUUAUAUAUAUAUUCCCCUACUAGCACUAAGCAAAUGAUAUUUUAUUAGAUAAAACUUUAUUAUAUAAUACGAAACUUUGCGUCCAUCGCAACCAAAUACGCCUACAGUUAUCAUAGACGCAUCGAUGAAGGGACUUGGCUUCUGAAUUAGGUGCUGUGUGCCAAGCGUGAAUCCGACCUCAUAAUUCUAGCUCGGGUCCGAAGCUUUGUUUUUGAUCGGGCCGGCCCGUUUUGUAGAUUUACUACUUGGCCCGGCUCAUCCCGAUCCGGCCCCGCUCCAGUGUUUAAAGCUGUCUCGACCAAAGAGUCAAGAGAGGUUGUUGUCGACGCUUCAUUUCCCCUUCACUCUCUCUCUCUCUCUCUCUCUCUCUCUCUCUCUCUCUACGGCUACGCCCUAUAAAAAAUCUCGGGAGCGAAGUUGGGGAAGCUUUUGAGGUUUCGAAGGUCGGCCUCGUCUUCUCAGGUGUGCUCUUAACACGACCCAACAACAACAACAACAACAACAACAACAACAACAACAACAACAACAGUAACAGUAACAGUAACAGUGAAAAUUUUUAGGUGAAAAUUCAUGUGGCUCACCGAAUGUGCUCUUUGUGAAGUGUUUAAUCUGUCUUUGUGUAUAGAAAAGGGGGUUUUUUUUUCUCAUUGAAAGAUGAUUGCUCACACCUAUAUGUGAAAUUUUGUUUAAGAAAACAUGUAUUGGCGAUAGAAGGCCAGUUCCCCGAGUAUCUUCCGGAUUGCAAUGAAUGCAAGAAGCUUGAUAUUUAGUCGUAAAGUAAUCUGAAAUGGUUUCCUUCUUGCUUGGAUUUGCAUAUGUUGGUUCCGUGAUGAAUUUCCCAGUUCUUAUGAAGCUUUUUGUGUAAAAAAAAAUGUUUUUUUUUUUUUUCUGUUCAGAAAUGCCGAGUCUUCGGCGCGUGGCACGGGAGAAUGCUCGAAGGAUUUUUGAGGAGAAGGAGAAGCUGAGAUUAGAGUUGGAGAAUGCUCGAAGGAUUUUUGAGGAGAAUGAGAAGCUGAGGCUAGAGUUGGAGAAUGUUCAAAGGAUUUUUGAGGAGAAUGAGAAGCUGAUGCUAGAGUUGGAUGCAAAGAGAAAAGAACUAAAUUCGCGAUGCAAGCAACGAGACAAGUUAGAGGCUGAAAAUGACGGCGAGAAGAAACAGCUUGAUGACGAGAAGCAAAAGGUAAUGGGUUCAUAUAAAGCACGCACUCUGAAUUAAAGAGUACAUUGUUAGGUACCCAUGUCUUUUUGAUUAUUAUUUGUCGAAUGGUAGGAACUAUCGUGUUUGAGGAUGUUUUAAUUUAACAAAAGAUUAGCAUGAACUUAGAGAGUUCAUGAGAAAACACAAAAAAUUGGAGCAAUUAACUUACAAUAGAUAGAUAAUUAUAACAAAUUAACCGAAGAUGACCACUGUGUCCCACUACUUGUGAUGGUUGCAUUGACACCUUCGUUGACUGUAAGUGAGGUUUUGUGAUCUUGGCUGAAGAAACCGGAAUAUCAACUGUUAAUGCUCUUGUUUGGUUGAUUGCGUCCAUUUUGUAGAUAUUCUUCAAUAAUUUGAUUUAAACUAAUCCAUAUGUCAGUAUUAAUUUUCUUUGCCACUUCUUUUACUAUUAGACGCUUCCUAUGAGGUGCAAAAGCACCAACUUCCCUAUUGUUUUAGAUCUUUUGCGUUAACUUCCUUUCGUUUCUAAAGAAGCAAUUGCUUAAACUCUAUGCUAGCCUUUGUUUUUAGCAUUUCAAGUAGCUUACUAUGUGGUGGCGAGUAAUAAACAACGGCAUGCGUGUGUUGUUUUAUGUUUGAUAUACAUGUGCAUGGAUAUUUACGCAAUUUCUUGUUAAUUUAAUCAACUUUUCUAUACAUAGAACACAGCUAUAAAAUAAUGAUACUUCCAAACUUGGUUCUAAGACAUUUAUUACCUUCAUUCACCUGUAGCAGUUCUAUUUACUAGGUAGUAUAUUUAACAGCCUUACCCUAUUUAUUCUCUCAGACUGCAAUAGAGAACACUUCACGGGAGUUGCCAUCUAUGGUCCAAAAGAAGGCCGAUGAAGAUGUUCGGAAGCAUAUUCAGGCUCAGAAGGUAUGUAAUAUUCUCCAAAACCAUCAAUAUCUUUUCCCGAGAUUGUUCAUGCUUAUGUAUUCAAAAUUGAAAUUUUCAGAGGGAAAAAGAAGCUGCCAUCUCAAAAAUAAUAGAAUUGGAGAGGCAAUUGGAUCAAAAACAACAAUUGGAGCUCGAAAAAGAGCAGUUAGAGGGGACGCUUCGAGUGAUGAAGCGUUUGGAAGGAGAAGAUGAUGAAGAUAUCCACAAAAAGAUGGAAAAUUUGAGCGGCAAGCUGGAGAGCGAAAAGCUGCGUCUGGCAAAACUUUGUAUAGAUCUCAUAAGCAAGGAGCGCAAAAGCAAUGACGAGCUAGGAGAAGCUCGAAAGGAAUUGAUUAUGGUUGGAGUUUUUCUUUUCCUUUAUUUUCUUCUGAGAAUUACUCUUGCUUUCAAGCAAGAUUGCAUGGAACAACCUCAUGUGUAUAAUUCUCUCUUUUUUGAUUAAUUCUUUGUUGUUUUUCUCUUUUUUGACUGAUUGUUUAUCUCGGACAGGGUUCCGAUGACUUGCUGAGUGGCCGCACUAAUAUUGGAAUCAAAAGGAUGGGGGAACUUGAUGAAAAGCCUUUUCAAAAUGCAUGCAAGAGAAAAUAUCAGGACGAAGAAGCUGCCAUUAAAGCUGCAGAGUUGUGCUCAAAUUGGCAAGGGCAAUUCAAGGAACCCGGGUGGCAUCCAUACAAGAUCGUUGAGUGUCGUAGAGAAACUAAGGUAUCAGAUAUAAUCAUUCUAUUACAUUUUCAGUACGCGCGCUUUGUCUCGUUCAAACAACAUGAACUGUCUCUUAGAGCGAGAAUACUUACAAGAUUUCACCUUGAAUCUCCCGUCUCUCUCUCUCUCUCUCUCUUGCAUAUGAUAACUUGUGGAAUGUUUUGUCUAUUUCCUUUUUCACUACUUCAUUCCUGUGGCUUGAUGGUGCAGGAAGUUGUUCCGAAGUUGAAGGAACUGUGGUUCGAAUGGGGGGAUGAUGUCUACAAUGCGGUCAAAACAGCUUUGAUUGAGCUGAAUGAGUACAACGCUAGCGGAAGGUAUACAGUGCCUGAACUCUGGAACUACAAAGAAGGGCGGAAAGCAACUACGAAGGAAGUAAUCCGAUACAUAUUUGAGCAGUGGAAGAUCAAUAAGAGGAAGAGAUGACGAACCGGCUAUGAAUUGCCAGACAUGGCGUCGAAUGCCUCUACGUUUCUCAUCUAAUGUGGAGCAACUAUAUAUUGUACCUGGAUUUAAUGCUGUAUUAUAAGCUUUUGUAUCACUGUUGUAAGAGAACCAUUGCUGCAUAAGCAGCUCUUCC
rnacentral:lncRNA from 1 species